GAUGAACGCUGGCGGCGUGCCUAAUACAUGCAAGUCGAGCGAACGGACGAGAAGCUUGCUUUUCUGAUGUUAGCGGCGGACGGGUGAGUAACACGUGGAUAACCUACCUAUAAGACUGGGAUAACUUCGGGAAACCGGAGCUAAUACCGGAUAAUAUUUUGAACCGCAUGGUUCAAAAGUGAAAGACGGUCUUGCUGUCACUUAUAGAUGGAUCCGCGCUGCAUUAGCUAGUUGGUAAGGUAACGGCUUACCAAGGCAACGAUGCAUAGCCGACCUGAGAGGGUGAUCGGCCACACUGGAACGGAGACAGGGUCCAGACUACUACGGGAGGCAGCAGUAGGGAAUCUUCCGCAAUGGGCGAAAGCCUGACGGAGCAACGCCGCGUGAGUGAUGAAGGUCUUCGGAUCGUAAAACUCUGUUAUUAGGGAAGAACAUAUGUGUAAGGAACUGUGCACAUCUUGACGGUACCUAAUCAGAAAGCCACGGCUAACUACGUG
rnacentral:rRNA from 1 species